rnacentral:rRNA from 1 species
AUUGCCCCAGUAACGGCGAGUGAAGCGGCAACAGCUCAAAUUUGAAAUCUGGCUCUCGGGCCCGAGUUGUAAUUUGUAGAGGAUGCUUUUGGUGAGGUGCCUUCCGAGUUCCCUGGAACGGGACGCCAUAGAGGGUGAGAGCCCCGUCUGGUUGGACACCGAUCCUCUGUAAAGCUCCUUCGACGAGUCGAGUAGUUUGGGAAUGCUGCUCUAAAUGGGAGGUAUAUGUCUUCUAAAGCUAAAUACCGGCCAGAGACCGAUAGCGCACAAGUAGAGUGAUCGAAAGAUGAAAAGAACUUUGAAAAGAGAGUUAAACAGUACGUGAAAUUGUUGAAAGGGAAGCGCUUGUGACCAGACUUGGGCUUGGUUGAUCAUCCGGGGUUCUCCCCGGUGCACUCUUCCGGCUCAGGCCAGCAUCAGUUCGCCCUGGGGGAUAAAGGCUUCGGGAAUGUGGCUCUCUCCGGGGAGUGUUAUAGCCCGCUGCGUAAUACCCUGUGGCGGACUGAGGUUCGCGCAUUCGCAAGGAUGCUGGCGUAAUGGUCAUCAGUGACCCGUCUUGAAACACGGACCAAGGAGUCGUCUUCGUAUGCGAGUGUUCGGGUGUCAAACCCCUACGCGAAAUGAAAGUGAACGCAGGUGAGAGCUUCGGCGCAUCAUCGACCGAUCCUGAUGUUAUCGGAUGGAUUUGAGUAAGAGCAUACGGGGCCGGACCCGAAAGAAGGUGAACUAUGCCUGUGUAGGGUGAAGCCAGAGGAAACUCUGGUGGAGGCUCGCAGCGGUUCUGACGUGCAAAUCGAUCGUCAAACAUGGGCAUGGGGGCGAAA